GCCUGUUUAGGGGAGAAAGAGGGCAAGAAAGACCUCCAUCACAAAACCAAUCAGGGAACUGAAAUGGGAGCAGGGAGAAGGGUGUUCAGGUGGUUGCUAAGCUGCCUCCAUUUCUACCCCAUUGCAGCAGUGGCAGCGGCGCCCGCAAUACCCACGGUUUUUCACAGCAGCAGACAAUUCAGCAGUGCUACUGAUGAGCGACAUUGAAGAGGAACAAGGAGAUUAUGAUGACAUAUGGCCAGCAGGCCCUGCUAGUUCUCUGUUUUGGGUGGAUGAGGACUCAGAGCUUCUUGAAGAAAAUGAAC